UACGUAGGGUGCGAGCGUGUCCGGAAUUAUUGGGCGUAAAGAGCUUGUAGGCGGUUUGUCGCGUCUGCUGUGAAAAUCCGGGGCUCAACCCCGGACUUGCAGUGGGUACGGGCAGACUAGAGUGUGGUAGGGGAGACUGGAAUUCCUGGUGUAGCGGUGAAAUGCGCAGAUAUCAGGAGGAACACCGAUGGCGAAGGCAGGUCUCUGGGCCACUACUGACGUGAGAAGCGAAAGCAUGGGGAGCGAACAGG
rnacentral:rRNA from 1 species